rnacentral:rRNA from 1 species
UUUAAUGAGAGUUUGAUCCUGGCUCAGGACGAACGCUGGCGGCGUGCCUAAUACAUGCAAGUAGAACGCUGAAGGAGGAGCUUGCUUCUCUGGAUGAGUUGCGAACGGGUGAGUAACGCGUAGGUAACCUGCCUGGUAGCGGGGGAUAACUAUUGGAAACGAUAGCUAAUACCGCAUAAGAGUGGAUGUUGCAUGACAUUUGCUUAAAAGGUGCACUUGCAUCACUACCAGAUGGACCUGCGUUGUAUUAGCUAGUUGGUGGGGUAACGGCUCACCAAGGCGACGAUACAUAGCCGACCUGAGAGGGUGAUCGGCCACACUGGGACUGAGACACGGCCCAGACUCCUACGGGAGGCAGCAGUAGGGAAUCUUCGGCAAUGGACGGAAGUCUGACCGAGCAACGCCGCGUGAGUGAAGAAGGUUUUCGGAUCGUAAAGCUCUGUUGUAAGAGAAGAACGAGUGUGAGAGUGGAAAGUUCACACUGUGACGGUAUCUUACCAGAAAGGGACGGCUAACUACGUGCCAGCAGCCGCGGUAAUACGUAGGUCCCGAGCGUUGUCCGGAUUUAUUGGGCGUAAAGCGAGCGCAGGCGGUUAGAUAAGUCUGAAGUUAAAGGCUGUGGCUUAACCAUAGUAGGCUUUGGAAACUGUUUAACUUGAGUGCAAGAGGGGAGAGUGG